rnacentral:rRNA from 1 species
GACGAACGCUGGCGGCGUGCUUAAUACAUGCAAGUCGAACGGAAAGGCCCUGCUUUUGUGGGUUGGUCGAUUGGCGAACGCGUGAGUAACACGUGAGUAACCUGCCCUUAACUUUGGGGUAACUUCAGGAAACUCGGGCUAAUACCGGGUAGGAUCUCCUGCUGCAUGGUGGGGGUUGGAAAGUUUCGGCGGUUGGGGCUGGACUCGCGGCUUAUCCGCUUGAUGGGGGGGUAGUGGCUUACCAAGGCUUUGACGGGUAGGCGGCCUGAGAGGGUGACCGGCCACAUUGGGCCUGAGAUACGGACCAGACUCCUACGGGAGGCAGCAGUGGGGAAUAUUGCACAAUGGGCCGAAGUCUGAUGCAGCAACGCCGCGUGCGGGAUGACGGCCUUCGGGUUGUAAACAGCUUUCGACUGUGACGAAGCGUGAGUGACGGUAAUGGGUAAAGAAGCACCGGCUAACUACGUG